CAGCAGCCGCGGUAAUACGUAGGGUGCAAGCGUUAAUCGGAAUUACUGGGCGUAAAGCGUGCGCAGGCGGUUAUAUAAGACAGAUGUGAAAUCCCCGGGCUCAACCUGGGAACUGCAUUUGUGACUGUAUAGCUAGAGUACGGCAGAGGGGGAUGGAAUUCCGCGUGUAGCAGUGAAAUGCGUAGAUAUGCGGAGGAACACCGAUGGCGAAGACAAUCCCCUGGGCCUGUACUGACGCUCAUGCACGAAAGCGUGGGGAGCAAACAGGAUUAGAUACCCCCGUAGUCCCUGUCUCUUAUAC
rnacentral:rRNA from 1 species